UACGGGAGGCAGCAGUGGGGAAUAUUGCACAAUGGGCGAAAGCCUGAUGCAGCUAUGCCGCGUGUAUGAAGAAGGCCUUAGGGUUGUAAAGUACUUUUCAUCGGGGAGGAAAAAACAAAACUAAUAAUUUUAUUUUCUUUGACGUUACCCGAAAAAGAAGCACCGGCUAACUCCGUGCCAGCAGCCGCGGUAAUACGGAGGGUGCUAGCGUUAAUCAGAAUUACUGGGCGUAAAGAGCACGUAGGUGGUUUUUUUAAGUUCAGAUGUGAAAUCCCCUGGGUUUUAACCUAGGAACUGCAUUUUGAAACUGAAAUACUAGAGUAUCGUAGAGGGAGGUAGAAUUCUAGGUGUAGCGGUGAAAUGCGUAGAUAUCUGGAGGAAUACCUGUGGCGAAAGCGGCCUCCUAAACGAAUACUGACACUGAGGUGCGAAAGCGUGGGGAGCAAACAGGGAUUAGAUACC
rnacentral:rRNA from 1 species